AACACAGCUCCCUGCGAACUCGCAAGAGGAUGUAUAGGGGGUGAUGCCUGACCAAUGCCAGAAGGUCAAAUAUGGGAGGUGAGAGCCGCAAGGUUUUAGCUUGACUAUAUAAGCCCUGGUGAAUGUCGGCCGUAACUAUAGAAAUCAAUACUAUAAUUGUUGUAGUUACGUUAAAAAAUCUUGCCAAAUGCUGGAAACUC
rnacentral:rRNA from 1 species